rnacentral:tRNA from 1 species
GGGCGGUUAGCUCAGGGGUUAGAGCGCUUGCCUUACAAGCAAGAGGUCAGAGGUUCGAAUCCUCUACCGCCCA